rnacentral:rRNA from 1 species
UACGUAGGCGGAAAAUUAAGUCAGUAGUGAAAUCCCGCAGCUUAACUGUGGAACUGUUAUUGAUACUGGUUUUCUUGAAUAUAGUUGAGGUAGGCGGAAUGUGUAAUGUAGCGGUGAAAUGCUUAGAUAUUACACAGAACACCGAUUGCGAAGGCAGCUUACUAAGCUAUGAUUGACGCUGAGGCACGAAAGCGUGGGGAGCGAACAGGAUUAGAUACCCUGGUAGUCC